rnacentral:rRNA from 1 species
UAAUACAUGCAAGUCGAACGAACUCUGGUAUUGAUUGGUGCUUGCAUCAUGAUUUACAUUUGAGUGAGUGGCGAACUGGUGAGUAACACGUGGGAAACCUGCCCAGAAGCGGGGGAUAACACCUGGAAACAGAUGCUAAUACCGCAUAACAACUUGGACCGCAUGGUCCGAGCUUGAAAGAUGGCUUCGGCUAUCACUUUUGGAUGGUCCCGCGGCGUAUUAGCUAGAUGGUGGGGUAACGGCUCACCAUGGCAAUGAUACGUAGCCGACCUGAGAGGGUAAUCGGCCACAUUGGGACUGAGACACGGCCCAAACUCCUACGGGAGGCAGCAGUAGGGAAUCUUCCACAAUGGACGAAAGUCUGAUGGAGCAACGCCGCGUGAGUGAAGAAGGGUUUCGGCUCGUAAAACUCUGUUGUUAAAGAAGAACAUAUCUGAGAGUAACUGUUCAGGUAUUGACGGUAUUUAACCAGAAAGCCACGGCUAACUACGUGCCAGCAGCCGCGGUAAUACGUAGGUGGCAAGCGUUGUCCGGAUUUAUUGGGCGUAAAGCGAGCGCAGGCGGUUUUUUAAGUCUGAUGUGAAAGCCUUCGGCUCAACCGAAGAAGUGCAUCGGAAACUGGGANACUUGAGUGCAGAAGAGGACAGUGGAACUCCAUGUGUAGCGGUGAAAUGCGUAGAUAUAUGGAAGAACACCAGUGGCGAAGGCGGCUGUCUGGUCUGUAACUGACGCUGAGGCUCGAAAGUAUGGGUAGCAAACAGGAUUAGAUACCCUGGUAGUCCAUACCGUAAACGAUGAAUGCUAAGUGUUGGAGGGUUUCCGCCCUUCAGUGCUGCAGCUAACGCAUUAAGCAUUCCGCCUGGGGAGUACGGCCGCAAGGCUGAAACUCAAAGGAAUUGACGGGGGCCCGCACAAGCGGUGGAGCAUGUGGUUUAAUUCGAAGCUACGCGAAGAACCUUACCAGGUCUUGACAUACUAUGCAAAUCUAAGAGAUUAGACGUUCCCUUCGGGGACAUGGAUACAGGUGGUGCAUGGUUGUCGUCAGCUCGUGUCGUGAGAUGUUGGGUUAAGUCCCGCAACGAGCGCAACCCUUAUUAUCAGUUGCCAGCAUUAAGUUGGGCACUCUGGUGAGACUGCCGGUGACAAACCGGAGGAAGGUGGGGAUGACGUCAAAUCAUCAUGCCCCUUAUGACCUGGGCUACACACGUGCUACAAUGGAUGGUACAACGAGUUGCGAACUCGCGAGAGUAAGCUAAUCUCUUAAAGCCAUUCUCAGUUCGGAUUGUAGGCUGCAACUCGCCUACAUGAAGUCGGAAUCGCUAGUAAUCGCGGAUCAGCAUGCCGCGGUGAAUACGUUCCCGGGCCUUGUACACACCGCCCGUCACACCAUGAGAGUUUGUAACACCCAAAGUCGGUGGGGUAACCUUUUAGGAACCA